AUAGUUACCUGGCAGGGGAGAUAACCUGAUAACAAAGGUGGUUUUCCCAGGGCAAGGCUUAUCCAUUGCACUCUGGAUGUCUGAUCCCUGCGAUUUCCCCAAAUGUGGGAAACUUGACUGCAUAAUUUGUGUUAGUGGGGGACUAUGUUUGCACACUCCCCUG
rnacentral:snRNA from 1 species